GACGUAGGGCGCGAGCGUUGUCCGGAUUUAUUGGGCGUAAAGAGCUCGUAGGCGGCUUGUCGCGUCGUCCGUGAAAACUUGGGGCUCAACCCCAAGCUUGCGGUCGAUACGGGCAGGCUCGAGUUCGGUAGGGGAGACUGGAAUUCCUGGUGUAGCGGUGAAAUGCGCAGAUAUCAGGAGGAACACCGGUGGCGAAGGCGGCUUCCUGGACCGGUUCUGACACUGAGGAGCGAAAGCGUGGGGAGCGAUCCGG
rnacentral:rRNA from 1 species